AUUGAACGCUGGCGGCAGGCUUAACACAUGCAAGUCGAACGAGUGGCGGACGGGUGAGUAAUGCUUGGGAAUCUCGCUUAUGGAGGGGGAUAACUACGGGAAACUGUAGCUAAUACCGCGUACAAAAGGAUGAGCCCAAGUGGGAUUAGGUAGUUGGUGAGGUAACGGCUCACCAAGCCGCCGAUCCCUAGCUGGUCUGAGAGGAUGACCAGCCACACUGGGACUGAGACACGGCCCAGACUCCUACGGGAGGCAGCAGUGGGUAAUAUUGCGCAAUUGGGGCAACCCUGACGCAGCCAUGCCGCGUGUAUGAAGAAGGCCUUCGGGUUGUAAAGUACUUUCAGUCGGGAGGCGUUACCGACAGAAGAAGCACCGGCUAACUCCGUGCCAGCCGCCGCGGUAAUAC
rnacentral:rRNA from 1 species